UACGAAGGGGGCUAGCGUUGCUCGGAAUUAUUGGGCGUAAAGCGCGCGUAGGCGGUUACUUAAGUCGGAUGUGAAAGCCCUCGGCUUAACUGAGGAAGUGCACCCGAAACUGAGUAGCUAGAGUACGAAAGAGGGUCGCGGAAUUCCCGGUGUAGAGGUGAAAUUCGUAGAUAUCGGGAGGAACACCGGUGGCGAAGGCGGCGACCUGGGUCGAGACUGACGCUGAGGCGCGAAAGCGUGGGGAGCAAACAGG
rnacentral:rRNA from 1 species